rnacentral:rRNA from 1 species
UACGGAGGGUGCGAGCGUUGCUCGGAAUUAUUGGGCGUAAAGCGUACGCAGGCGGCUCGGCAAGUCGAGUGUGAAAUCCCGGGGCUCAACUCCUGAACUGCAUUCGAUACUGCCGGGCUUGAGUGCGGGAGAGGGAAGCGGAAUUCCUGGUGUAGAGGUGAAAUUCGUAGAUAUCAGGAGGAACACCGGUGGCGAAAGCGGCUUCCUGGCCCGACACUGACGCUCAUGUACGAAAGCGUGGGGAGCAAACAGG